rnacentral:lncRNA from 1 species
CUUAUAUCUGCUUCCAAGACUGCUACAAUUACCUGAAGCAAGAAACGAGCACUCUAAACUAAGGUAGACUAUGGGAAGACCUUUAGAAGUUCUCAGUGACCUCCCACCUAGCUCUCUAAACCUAUUUCUCUCAUUCCAAACCCUCGCUAUUCUAUUCCUCUUCCUCAUCUGUACUGAGAAACUGCGGUCAGCACCUCAGGGUGGCUACAUAAUUUGUGGGGCCCAGGGUAAACGAAAAUGCAAGGCUCCUUGUUCAAAAAUUACCAAGAAUUCCAAGACGGCAACAGCAGAGCGUUAAACCAAGUCCAGGGUGGUUCUGAGCACGGGGCCGUGGGCAGCUGCACAGCUUCACACCCACGACGUCAGCGUUCUGUGUCCGCGUUUCCGCGUUCGGCCUUGCAGACUUCUGAGGACGCCAUCGCGGAUCCUGAUUCCCAGACACUGCCAAGAGCUCAUUUUCGUUUCUCCCAUGGUGACAUCAUCUUGUGUCCUCCCUGUUGGUGGUAGCCGGUUCUCCUCGUUGUUUAGCUAACUUUCCACCUUCUCUGAAACUCUGCAGCAACCGUCCCUCCCCAGCCUUUUUCCUAAACGUGUAUCUGGAAUCCACUGCUGGAUCCUACAGCUAAGAGAUUGUUAACGUUACUCCCGAAGAAGUUUAUAACUGAUGGUUUUCCUUUUUUCACAGCUCUAAGUUCAGGACAAUAACUGGAACAGGAUGUGUGUCUUGAAGAGGUUGAGGCAGAUAAAUAUACUGAAUACACCACACUGUCCUGACCAGGCCAGGAAGUCUAGUGUGUACUGGGUUCCCAAGACUGAUGAUACACCUACCUCUAAUGACGUGGUCCCUCCGAAAUAUCCACUCUAGCCUGCAGGAGAAUUGCCACAGCCUCAGGAAUAUGGGGCUGGGCUGGAGGGUGUCAGUUGAACUUCUCGGCAUUCUCACGUGGCUCUCACUCUUUUGGACUUACUAUCUGCGAUUGCACAUCUGCCAGUGUCCUUUGUCUGUUAUUGGAGAAUGCUGCUGGCCUCUUUGCUGUGUAUCCUGAUUGCAGUGACUUCCUUCUGUAGCUUCUAGAUAAGCAAAUUUUCUUGAUUUAUCAGGAGGUGUCUUUGGUCUCUCAGUCAAUUCGAUCUUAUUAUUGACAUUUAUCAACAUGGUGGGUGUAAGAUCUUUUAAUCUAACAAGUUACAUACAUACAUUUUCAAAUACUAAGUGAUUCUUGCGUUGCUGGAAUGCAUGCUACUAGUUUGUAAGCCUUUAAAAUUUUUUUCAUAUAUUACUGGAACAAAAUAUAUUCAAGAAUUUAUUAUAUGAUAACAUAAGUUACUUCUCAAUUCAGUGUGGUAAAGAUGGACUUUCAAUAUAAGGUGUUGUGAAAAGUGGGUAAGAUAUAGAAAAAUGUUAAAUUAGAUUCAUCUUUUACACUGUACACCAAUGUACUCUACAAAUAUGCCCAUGAUUAAAUGUAAACUAUGAUGCAAAAAGGUAAAGGUACAAGAAGAAAAUAUCUGUGCAUUCCCCUAUAAGUCUGGAGUAGAAAAAGUCUUUCUAAACCAAGUCUCAAAAUGCAGAAACCAAGGAUAAGAAAAAGGUUGAUAAAGUAGAUACAUAAAAAUAGAAAAGUUCUACAUGGCAAAAGACACCACGAACAAAUCUAAAACGAUUACGAAUUGAGACGAAGCAUUUGAAAUAUAGAGCAGGAGCAACACUUUAAAUGCCCCUAGAUGCUUUCUCUAAUCCUUUAAAAGCUCCUGGAAAUUGAGAAGAAAAAGAUCAACUUGAAACAAAACCUACAGUUCACAGAAAAAGAAACACAAAGGAUCCCACCAUAUGAAGAGAUGUUCAACCUUACUCAUAAUAAGAAAAAAGCACAUAAAAACUACUCUAAGAUAAUCCUGUUCAGCACCAGAUUACCAAAGCUCCCAACAGCAAGCGGGGGAAGAAAGCGUGUACACAUCGCUUGAAUAGGCAUCCAAAAUGGAGCCAACGACAGGAGGGCAAUUUGGCCAGACCAGC